CUUACUCUUGUAUACAAUACUUAAACAUACACACACACACACACAUUGCGAAACCGUGUCGCUCAACGCGUGUAAAAGAUUACAUCUUGUUCCUCCGAAUCCGAAAUAUCACUCAUCUUUCAUUUGUGUGUUCGUUCAAACACACUUGUCAUAUAAUUAUGCCCUUCCUUAAUUGUUGUUUCGUCUCAGAUUACGAUCAAAACAAUCUCAGCCUUGACCGUUAAAUGUUGUUAACGAGUCCUUUUCUAGUCUAAUUCUGUAGUGCUGCUAUUUCAGAGAAAUUUGGCUGCGCUUUUUAGCAGGUCAAGAAACCGCGUGCAACAAGGCUUAAACAACAGGUCGCACUACUGAAUAAAUUGAAAGCAGUUUGCCGUUAGGUGCAGCAUUCCGAAAAUGCCGUGGACUUCCUGAAUGGAACAUCCGACGGUGUUGGAACUUCUUACAAAAUAAUGGCAUCGAUAUGUGGUUAAGAUGCUCGCUUUGCAAUCACUUGGUUUCGGGUUCAGUCCUAUCGCGCGACACUUUAGGCAAGGGUCUUCUGCUGUCGCUCUGGGCCCCGUCACCGCUUGACACCCGUGUUGGUUUGUUUAUCGACGAAAGUGACCGAUAAGAAUCAGUAUCGGACUUAGAAGUAAGGGGCUACUUCUUCGGAUCCCCCGCUCUUAUAACUUUUGAACCAGUAAUU